AACGUAGGAGACAAACGUUAUCCGGAGUUACUGGGCGUAAAGGGCGUGUAGGUGGUUUCGUAAGUCUGGCGUGAAAUAUCUCGGCUUAACCGAGGCAGGUCGUCGGAUACUGCGGAACUGGAGGACGGUAGAGGCGUGUGGAAUUCCGGGUGUAGUGGUGAAAUGCGUAGAGAUCCGGAGGAACACCAGUGGCGAAGGCGACACGCUGGGCCGUACCUGACACUGAUGCGCGACAGCAUGGGGAGCAAACAGG
rnacentral:rRNA from 1 species